ensembl:lncRNA
GACUGGAUAUCACCUCACCCAGAUUACCAAAGUGACAACCUGACUGAAAUCGACCCAGAAAAUGUUACAGAAGCACCAAUGAAUUUAUUAGCAGAAUCACCAACAGCACAUCCAUCUGAAAACCUCAUAGAUGCUUUGAAUGUCUCUGACUCUGAGAAACUGGACAAUAAGACAGAAUCAGACCGUUCACCGUUUUAUGAAGAUUACAGCUACAGCACAGCAAUUCUUAGAAACCCUGAAGUCAUCACAGAGGCAGCAGGAAAAUUAACAGAAUCACCAACAGAUGGUCCAGCUGCAAACACCAGAGGAGACACAAAACCAUUUAUGAACAACUUUAAUGAUGCCAACACUGAAAAUGUUACAAAUGGACCAGUACAAUUAUUACCAGCUCCACCUGAUGCAGAUUUAAACAGUGACUCCUCUAAUGGCAGCGAGACCUUCAUUAAAGCAACUCUGAAAACUGGUAAAUUCAAGCUGUUUAAAGUUCAGUGCUGUUUUAUGUUUCUGUAGUAAAUGUUUUGGGGUGGUAAGAGCUUUAUCUCUUAAACAUCAUUAAUUAUGAAAAUAUAUAGUUUAGGCUUUUUAUUUUUUUUUAUCUCAUGAACAGUGAGAUUUAACCAGGAGUGAGAAACCAAUUUUUAUAUAUUACUUGUAUACAAAUCUAAUGUGUGCAGCAGAAAUUGUAGUUACAUCUUGUGUUUCUUCCUGAAGAAUCACCAACAGCGUAUCCUCUUCAGAAAGCCACCACAGAUGCUUUGAAUGUCUCUGAAUCUGAGAAACAUCUGAGCAUGAAAGUGAAAACUGGUAAAUCAACCAAGACUGCAAAAGUCUUGAGCCAGCUCAAGAC